rnacentral:rRNA from 1 species
GACGAACCGUACGAACGUUAUUCGGAAUUACUGGGCUUAAAGGGUGCGUAGGCGGACAAGUAAGUCGGGCGUGAAAUCCCUAGGCUCAACCUAGGAACUGCACUCGAAACUGCAUGUCUUGAGUACCGGAGAGGAAAGCGGAAUACCUGGUGUAGAGGUGAAAUUCGUAGAUAUCAGGUGGAACACCAGUGGCGAAGGCGGCUUUCUGGACGGUAACUGACGCUGAGGCGCGAAAGCGUGGGAGCAACAGG